GACGAACGCUGGCGGCGUGCUUAACACAUGCAAGUCGAGCGGUAAGGCCUUUCGGGGUACACGAGCGGCGAACGGGUGAGUAACACGUGAGUAAUCUGCCCUUCACUUUGGGAUAACUACCGGAAACGGUGGCUAAUACCGAAUAUGACCUCCUUCUGCAUGGUUGGGGGUGGAAAGUUCCGGCGGUGAAGGAUGUGCUCGCGGCCUAUCAGCUUGUUGGUGAGGUAAUGGCUCACCAAGGCUUCGACGGGUAGCCGGCCUGAGAGGGUGACCGGCCACACUGGGACUGAGACACGGCCCAGACUCCUACGGGAGGCAGCAGUGGGGAAUAUUGGACAAUGGGCGAAAGCCUGAUCCAGCAACGCCGCGUGAGGGAUGAAUGCCUUCGGGUUGUAAACCUCUUUCAGUAGGGACGAAGCGCAAGUGACGGUACCUACAGAAGAAGCACCGGCCAACUACGUG
rnacentral:rRNA from 1 species